UAGGGAAUCUUCCGCAAUGGGCGAAAGCCUGACGGAGCAACGCCGCGUGAGUGAAGAAGGGUUUUGGUUCGUAAAGCUCUGUUGUUAGGGAAGAAUGAUUGUGUAGUAACUAUACACAGUAGAGACGGUACCUAACCAGAAAGCCACGGCUAACUACGUGCCAGCAGCCGCGGUAAUACGUAGGUGGCAAGCGUUGUCCGGAAUUAUUGGGCGUAAAGCGCGCGCAGGUGGUUUAAUAAGUCUGAUGUGAAAGCCCACGGCUCAACCGUGGAGGGUCAUUGGAAACUGUUAAACUUGAGUGCAGGAGAGAAAAGUGGAAUUCCUAGUGUAGCGGUGAAAUGCGUAGAGAUUAGGAGGAACACCAGUGGCGAAGGCGGCUUUUUGGCCUGUAACUGACACUGAGGCGCGAAAGCGUGGGGAGCAAACAGGAUUAGAUACCCUGGUAGUCCACGCCGUAAACGAUGAGUGCUAAGUGUUGGUCUCAUAAGAGAUCAGUGCUGCAGCUAACGCAUUAAGCACUCCGCCUGGGGAGUACGACCGCAAGGUUG
rnacentral:rRNA from 1 species